UACAGAGGUGGCAAGCGUUGUUCGGAAUCACUGGGCGUAAAGGGCGCGUAGGCGGCCUUGCAAGUCGGUUGGUGAAAGCCCGGGGCUCAACCCCGGAGGUGCGGCCGAGACUGCAGGGCUGGAGGCCGGAAGAGGAGGGUGGAAUACCCAGUGUAGAGGUGAAAUUCGUAGAUAUUGGGUGGAACACCGGUGGCGAAAGCGGCUCUGUGGUCCGGACCUGACGCUGAGGCGCGAAAGCGUGGGGAGCAAACAGG
rnacentral:rRNA from 1 species